rnacentral:misc_RNA from 1 species
AAGUCGUAACAAGGUCUCCGUUGGUGAACCAGCGGAGGGAUCAUUACAGAGUUGCAAAACUCCCAAACCAUAUGUGAACCUACCUGUUUCGUUGCUUCGGCAGGCGGCCCCAGGGCGGGGUCCUAGCCUUCACAGGCGCCUGCCGGAGGUUCUAAAACUCUUGUUUAUCAACUGUCAUCUGAGUAACCAAACAAAUAAGUUAAAACUUUCAACAACGGAUCUCUUGGUUCUG